rnacentral:tRNA from 1 species
GCACCAGUGGUUCAGUGGUAGAAUUCUUUACCUUCCAUGCGGGAGACCUGGGUUCGAUUCCCAGCCAGUGUU